ACUGUACAUGACGUCAUCAUAAAACUCGUACAGUUUUUGAAAUUCCAGAACUAACUUCAAAUGUAGUUGUAUUAUCGUAGGAACAGCAGGUGACAUAUUUGAUUAGGCUGAGGAACGUGAGCAUACCUGUAUGGGGCGAUCGUGAUCCUGGUGAAAAUGAGUUCCAUUACAUCCAGUCAUUACAUCAAUGAGCCCAAGCAUAUAAAUGGUUUUAGAAGUGGGGUACACACAGCUUCCUCAUCACAGGGGACUCAGCACAUGACCACACACGAUUGAGGGCAGAUUCUGCAGUAAGGCUAAGUUAGAAGGCAAACAAUUUGCUCCUAUCACGGGACAGCCAGAUAUUGUUGCUGUCAUUUCAAUUGCAACUCCACUGUAAUAACAAAAGUUAGUUUUAACGUUUCACAUCAUUCACUGAUUCCGUGAUAGAAGGUUAGCCUUGGGCAGAAGUCAACUGGUAAAGAAAUACAUCGCAGUAGAAUAACAAGUACAACUUUCAUCACAAAAUCUUACCACUGGAUCCUAUGCUGGGAUAAUUCAAACAAAUAAAUAUCUCCACAGCA